GAGAGAGGCUCGCAGCAAUGAGGACUGCUAAUUCUCACUUCCCUUGGUUGGACUCCAAGGCUCACUCG
ensembl:Mt_tRNA